rnacentral:tRNA from 1 species
GGGGCUAUAGCUCAGCUGGGAGAGCGUUUGCAUGGCAUGCAAGAGGUCGGCGGUUCGAUCCCGCCUAGCUCCA